rnacentral:rRNA from 1 species
CCUACGGGUGGCAGCAGUGGGGAAUAUUGGGCAAUGGGCGCAAGCCUGACCCAGCAACGCCGCGUGAAGGAAGAAGGCUUUCGGGUUGUAAACUUCUUUUAAUCGGGAAGAGCAGAAGACGGUACCUCUUGAAUAAGCCACGGCUAACUACGUGCCAGCAGCCGCGGUAAUACGUAGGUGGCAAGCGUUGUCCGGAUUUAUUGGGUUUAAAGGGAGCGUAGGCGGGUUGUUAAGUCAGUUGGGAAAGUUUGCGGCUCAACCGUAAAAUUGCAGUUGAUACUGGCAUCCUUGAGUACAGUAGAGGUAGGCGGAAUUCGUGGUGUAGCGGUGAAAUGCUUAGAUAUCACGAAGAACUCCGAUUGCGAAGGCAGCCUGCUGGACUGUAACUGACGCUGAUGCUCGAAAGUGUGGGUAUCAAACAGGAUUAGAUACCCCAGUAGUC